rnacentral:rRNA from 1 species
CCUGGCGGCCAUAGCGCCGUGGAACCACCUGAACCCAUGCCGAACUCAGAAGUGAAACGCGGUAGCGCCGAUGGUAGUGUGG